GAAAUGCGAUAAGUAAUGUGAAUUGCAGAAUUCAGUGAAUCAUCGAAUCUUUGAACGCACAUUGCGCUCUUUGGUAUUCCGAAGAGCACGCCUGUUUGAGUAUCGAAAAAACCAUCACGACUUGGUCUUGGAGUUCGCUCCGAUCGACUUUGAGUCGUGGAUUUGGAAUGUCUACCGUAGGAGGCAAUCUCAAAAUAGAGCGUUGGAAGCUGGAUCUCCUUUACUGGGAUCGCUGCCCGAAAUUGUAUGAAUUGAAACCCUUUUAACCGAGGGAGUCUUCAUUUUUCUUUCUUGCAGCUUUUCGAGCCUGGUGGAGAAACGGUCGACCGAUACAUCCCACUACCACACGAGGGGUCGAGAGCGGCAUGCUCACGAUUCGUCGAAUACUUGGUCUCAAAUC
rnacentral:misc_RNA from 1 species